AAAAAAAGGAUUCACCUGACCGGAGGAGACCGGAGAGAGAGAGAAGUCGAGAUCUCUUCUCUUGUUACAACCAAGUUUGCUUCGUCACCGGCGAAAGGUCGCGAAAUCCUCUUCCCCGACGUUAUAAUGCCGUUCACGACGGUGGUGGAAGUGGAGGCUCCGAGUCUGUUACGUUACUUGAUCGGAUCGGCGGUGAUGAUGAUAGGCGUGGUAUUGCCAGUCGGUUACAUGAUGUUCCGCAACAAGCGCGUCCCUUCCUCCUCUUCCUACUCUAAACAGACGUGGGGAAUCCAUGGUUGAUAGAUGAUCGAAAUAAUUAUAGUUGCUCUCCUCUUCGUUUAAAAGCUUUGUUUAGGCAAAGGAACAAAGUUUUGAUUUAGAAAGCUAGAGACUGGGGUUGAAUUCAAUUGGAUCGACAAAGAUGAUGGAUGACAUAUGGACGUUUGUAAAAUUAUGGUGGGUAUUUCUUGUUUUGACAUGGGUUGGCAAGAGAUACUUCGAUAAGAGAUUAAUAAACCUAGAAACAUGAGUAACUUUUCGUUAUUCUUCUUGGUUAGGUUAUGCAAGGUCUGUUAUGUAACACAACCUCUUCUCUUAGGUUGAAACAUUAAAUAUAAGACUGAGUUUUGGUUCA